rnacentral:rRNA from 1 species
GACGAACGCUGGCGGCGUGCCUAAUACAUGCAAGUCGAGCGAAGUUUUUCUGGUGCUUGCACUAGAAAAACUUAGCGGCGGACGGGUGAGUAACACGUAAAGAACCUGCCUCAUAGACUGGGACAACUAUUGGAAACGAUAGCUAAUACCGGAUAACAGUAUUUCUCGCAUGAGAGAUAUUUAAAAGUUGGUUAUGCUAACACUAUGAGAUGGCUUUGCGGUGCAUUAGCUAGUUGGUGGGGUAAAGGCCCACCAAGGCGACGAUGCAUAGCCGACCUGAGAGGGUGAUCGGCCACACCGGGACUGAGACACGGCCCAGACUCCUACGGGAGGCAGCAGUAGGGAAUCUUCCGCAAUGGGCGAAAGCCUGACGGAGCAACGCCGCGUGAGUGAAGAAGGAUUUCGGUUCGUAAAGCUCUGUUGUUAGGGAAGAAUGGAUAUGUAGUAACUAUACAUGUAAGAGACGGUACCUAACCAGAAAGCCACGGCUAACUACGUG